GUCUCGGAUAGCUUAACUGGUAGAGCCUUUGGCGCGUAACCGAACGAUCCGAGUUCGAGUCCCGGGCUGUCCGAAUU
rnacentral:tRNA from 1 species